ensembl:lncRNA
GUUCAUAUAAUCUGUCUGUCUGUAUAUCUGUUGUUCGUAUUAUCUCUCUGUUUAUCUGUUGUUUGUAUGAUCUGUCUGUCUGUAUAUCUGUUGUACAUAUAAUCUGCCUGUAUAUGUUGUUCGUAUAAUAACUUUAGUUUUGUAGGUUCCCAUCGCUCACCAUAAUGAGCCUGAGCACCUUACCUCAGUUUCCAUCAGGUAGCAAAACCACUUAAUACUCCCAGACUUCAUACACAUAUACACAUCUUCAACACGUCCAUUGCCAUAGACCUCUGGUAUAUUACUCUUAAUGUGCUCCUAAAAUUAAGAGUAAUUAGUGUGAUCGGCAAAAUCCACAGUCUUGGUUUAUAAACCUCUGUCUGUCUGUGUCUGUAUUUCUAUGUGCAACCCAUUUAGAGACAGCAGUUUUACUGAGAGUGUAACAUCACUGUUCCUGAAUUUUAGCAUAGCAUAAUAUCUUAUGGCAGAUUAAAAGACCUGGAAUAUAGCACAAGUUUUAUGGACUAUUUUUAUGUUUGUAUUGGUUUCCAUCUACUUUCAUUGUGCAGAGAAAGCAGCUUGAAUAUUCUUCAGAACUUCUAAUUUUGUGUUCCACAGAAGAAUAACAUGAGGAUGUCAGGGUGAGCACUCAUGACAACAACAACAACAACUGGAGGAGAACGAACCUUUCAGGCAACCGCUGGUGUCUUAAGCUGCAGUAGAAAUAAACUGUGAGCAUAUUGGACAACAUCAAGACUGUCCUGCUGUGCAAUGCCAUUUUCCUGCAGGCUUCUUCUCCUACUGUCUUCAAACACUGCUGGGGCCUCUGUUUCAAGCUCAGCCCACAACAGUGAUCGAGAGAACUACCACAGCUGGAAAGAAAGGAAUUACCAGACCCGAACAAGGGACAUCUCUCCGGCAGGAUAGGGCUCAGUGUUUGCGGGACUCAUUAAGCUG